rnacentral:rRNA from 1 species
UGAGUAACCUGCCCUUAACUCUGGGAUAAGCCUGGGAAACUGGAUCUAAUACCGGAUAUGACUCCUCAUCGCAUGGUGGGGGGUGGAAAGCUUUAUUGUGGUUUUGGAUGGACUCGCGGCCUAUCAGCUAGUUGGUGUGGGUAAUGGCCCACCAAGGCGACGACGGGUAGCCGGCCUGAGAGGGUGACCGGCCACACUGGGACUGAGACACGGCCCAGACUCCGUACGGGAGCAG